rnacentral:rRNA from 1 species
UACAGAGGGUGCAAACGUUGUUCGGAAUCACUGGGCGUAAAGCGCACGUAGGCGGCUUCUUAAGUCAGGGGUGAAAUCCUGGAGCUCAACUCCAGAACUGCCUUUGAUACUGAGGAGCUUGAGUCCGGGAGAGGUGAGUGGAACUGCGAGUGUAGAGGUGAAAUUCGUAGAUAUUCGCAAGAACACCAGUGGCGAAGGCGGCUCACUGGCCCGGUACUGACGCUGAGGUGCGAAAGCGUGGGGAGCAAACAGG